UGGAACUGUCAGUAACAUGCGUAUACUUAUUUAGAUGGCUGGUGCAAUUCUGAAAAGGGACAGAUGAUUGUUUUUCUUCCACGUUUCAUAAGUAUCACCAUUCAGGUAAAAAGGUAAAAUGUAUGAUGCUUUACACGAAGAUUUUGCUAUCCAUGAUGAAGAUAUUAGUAUACUGUAAAAUAUCUAUUUUGUGGUUAUAUUUUCGUAUCUUUUGCACUAGACAUGACACAUAACAGACCGCGAAUCAUCGUGAUGAACCAGCUAGGUGUAAUAUCUAUUUUUUUUUAUAUAAAGGUGUGAUUUAAAUAUAUUUCCUUUAUUUUCCUUCCGCCAGAUUAUCUGUUGUACCGGAAGUUCAACCCACAUCAGUUGACAGCGUUGUAUAAAAGAAACGAGCAGUAAUGGAGAUGGUAAGAAUAACGAAAGCUUUACUGUGACCUAUCAGGAGCAGGAACGAAAUCAGCAAGUAUGAAGAACACGUUUCUAUUCGGAUUAGUUUCAUUGUGCUCCUUUAUAGGAAUUGCACUUUGCUACGGAAGUGUUGCAAUGAAUAACAAAGGGUUCGGAGGUUUCGGCUACUAUCCAGCUUAUCCUACUUCCGGUAGCAGUGCUGGCAUGUUUGGAGGGUUAUCAUCUGGUGGCGGGCUGUUUGAAAUGAUUAUAAACCUCUUUUUGUUCAUAUUCCUGAUUCAACUGUUGUUCCCCCGAAACGGAAAUGGAGUGCUAGGAGUUGGAAAAUAAAUACAGAACAUCGUGGAGUAGACACUGACAGAAGCAGCAGCAACAGCAACAACACAAGAAUUAUCACAGUCCAUUAGAAGCUUACAAAAACAUUGUAAAACACAUAAAAAUGUAAAAAGAAAUAUGUGAGAGUUGAUAAAAUAACCCUGCAUAUUGAGAAAACAGGA